rnacentral:lncRNA from 1 species
AGAUAUGUCAACCCUCUAGAGGCCUCCUGAGAUGAUCUCCUUGUUCUCUCAUGACAGUUUUGUUCCUCUUUUUUCCUUCUCCUUGCAGGGUCUUCAGCUCCUUCCUCUUUUGUUGGGAAUGAGGGGCGCUUGGCAGCUUGGGUCUUCAUUCUCAGCUGUGGGUUACCACUCUGUGGUCAUCAAUGCCUGGUCACCGAUGGGCAAUUGAAAGUGGCUGCAAUGUUACCCCUUGGUCCCGGAGGAUGCCACCAUCAUCGCUGACCUCACCGGAGACAGGCAGUUUACCUACACUAAGCACAGUGGUUGAGCAUUUUGAAAUGAAGACUUCUGAGGCCAAGAAUAUGGACUUCCCGGAGGCCACUUGCGUGCAUCACUUCCAAGAAGGCUAUUCAGUAAUUCACCGGAUGGCCCAGCUGAGUGAAGGUCAAAGUGAGCAAAGGCAGCACUUUUUAGGAAUUGAACGGGGAUCAGAAAGUUUGCCCUGA